rnacentral:rRNA from 1 species
UACGAAGGGGGCUAGCGUUGUUCGGAAUUACUGGGCGUAAAGCGCACGUAGGCGAACAUUUAAGUCAGGGGUGAAAUCCCAGAGCUCAACUCUGGAACUGCCUUUGAUACUGGGUGUCUUGAGUAUGGAAGAGGUGAGUGGAAUUCCGAGUGUAGAGGUGAAAUUCGUAGAUAUUCGGAGGAACACCAGUGGCGAAGGCGGCUCACUGGUCCAUUACUGACGCUGAGGUGCGAAAGCGUGGGGAGCAAACAGG